GUGAGGAAUUUUCCGCAAUGGGCGAAAGCCUGACGGAGCAAUGCCGCGUGAAGGAUGAAGGCCUAUGGGUUGUAAACUUCUUUUCUCAGAAAAGAAUUAUGACGGUAUCUGAGGAAUAAGCAUCGGCUAACUCUGUGCCAGCAGCCGCGGUAAGACAGAGGAUGCAAGCGUUAUCCGGAAUGAUUGGGCGUAAAGCGUCUGUAGGUUGUUUAAAAAGUAUUAGGUCAAAGAUUAGGGCUUAACCCUAGAUAGGCAGAAUAAACUUUUAAGCUAGAGUUUAGUAGAGGCAGAGAGAAUUCCCGGUGGAGCGGUGAAAUGCGUAGAUAUCGGGAGGAACACCGAAGGCGAAGGCACUCUGCUGGGCCAAUACUAACACUGAGAGACGAAAGCGAGGGGAGCAAAUGGGAUUAGAAACCCUGGUAGUCC
rnacentral:rRNA from 1 species